rnacentral:rRNA from 1 species
UACGGGAGGCAGCAGUGGGGAAUAUUGCACAAUGGAGGAAACUCUGAUGCAGCAAUGCCGCGUGUGUGAAGAAGGCCUUAGGGUUGUAAAGCACUUUCAGACGUGAGGAAAAGUUAAGUCAUAAUACGGCUUAGCCCUGACGUUAACGUCAGAAGAAGCACCGGCUAACUCCGUGCCAGCAGCCGCGGUAAU